GACGAACCGUCCGAACGUUAUUCGGAAUUACUGGGCUUAAAGGGUGCGUAGGCGGUGCUGUAAGUCGGGUGUGAAAUCCCACAGCUCAACUGUGGAACUGCGCCCGAUACUGCAGUGCUAGAGGGAGACAGAGGUAAGCGGAACUGAUGGUGGAGCGGUGAAAUGCGUUGAUAUCAUCAGGAACACCGGUGGCGAAAGCGGCUUACUGGGUCUCUUCUGACGCUGAGGCACGAAAGCUAGGGUAGCGAAC
rnacentral:rRNA from 1 species